rnacentral:lncRNA from 1 species
CCUCAGAAUUCCAUCUUCAAGCUGUUUGACAGCCUCACCUUAUUGGCCUCAGGAAAGCUAAUGUACCAUGGUCCUGCCCAGAAGGCUUUGGAGUACUUUGAAUCAGCAGGUGUGGUUGACCUUUUCAGGCACUAGAUCCUUCCAUCAUAGACUCCUGGGGGAGGACAGUGGGAUGGACAGGAGCGCUGCUUGGUCUCUGCAUAGACUAACUGGGGUGCCAUCACUCCAAAACAUUUUUGGUCAGUUUAGUGUUAGGAGUUUUCUUCAUUUUUCAGUGUUUGCUUGUUGUUUAUGUCUCUUUCCUUCUUCUCCCCUCUUUGAAUGUGUGUGUGUGUGUGUGUGUCUCAUGGGCUUACUUCCUAGUUAUGCUGACCUUUCCCUGAGAAUUCAAUAAUUAACUGGCUGGACUCACAGCCAGCUAUUCAGCUGAACAUUUCUAGAAAGACCUAGUGUCAUUCAUUUUCUUCUAGACCAUGUAACAGAUAGUGAUGUUAUUCUACUUUUAUGAGGGCUCAUGGAGAUGCUCAUUGUUUUCUAGUAAUAUUAAAUUGGCUUGAGUGGGUGUGAGUUAUUAUUAGCCACUGGAAUGGCUGGUCUUAAGUUUGACCUGGGUAGGCAAACAUUUCUGGGCUCCCAGGUUCUCUUUCAGAUUGAAUUGUGUGAUCUUUUUAAUGGCUCAUGCAAUCUGUUUCAUUUUAGAGACAUUUAGAAAUUAUUAUAGAUAUUUCUUCAUGACCCCAAAUACAGUUUUAAAUAUUCCCUAGCUAUCUUAAUAUUUUAAUUUAUUCUCAGCCACUUAAAAUUAAGCAUGUAUGGGUUUAGAGAGUUCAGAGGAGAUGAACUUAAAGAGUCAGGUCUCAGGCCAAGUUCAGAUGAUGUGCCAGAAGAAGUUGAGGUGAGAGUUUAGGUGUGCUGUGCUGGUCAUGUUCUCUCAAGAAUUCAGUUCUGGGAAUUUGUUGGCUAUUUUGAAUUAUGGCAGCAUGAUAUGAUAAUGAUAAGUUGGAACUCUGAAUUUAGUAGGUGGAGAAGCAAUCUUGUUGACAUUCAUAGUGCCAUUCCAGCAUUUGCUUUAUGAACUCAGAAAACACAAUGAACCCAGGCAUUUUUUUUCUUGUAUCUAGAUUUAAGAAGUACUGAUAAGCAUCAGUUGAUCUUGAUAAAAAGGGAUCAGUAUAUUAUGUUCUAAAAAGUCCAAGAUUGGUUAACACACACACACACAAACACAAAAACAAUAGAAUAAAACCACAUACACACAUAUUUAUAUGUAUUGUAUAUGUGUGUGUUUACAAACAAACACACAUAGGGUUGGGAGACAAAGCAUUGUUGAAAUAUUUUGUGAAUGAAUAAGGAAAGUAUAAACCAGUGAGGUGAGAAGAAAGCAAGAUUAUGGCAGAGAAAAUGUCAGAUUCUGUCUUCAUAGCCUCACUUUCGUCACUCUCUGGAAGUGAGUAGUUUUUACUUUUCAAGCCCAUCAGGUUGAGUUCUUUGGUUGCUUUGUUUCAUAGGUUACCAUUGUGAGCUCCUCAGUAACCCUUCAGACUUCUUCGUGGAUGUCAUCAAUGGAGAC